rnacentral:miRNA from 1 species
GACCAACUAAGUUUGUUAUUGGUAUGAGAUUUCGUGUGCAUGCACAUGAAAGCUCAUACCAAUAACAAAUUUGGUUGGUC